rnacentral:rRNA from 1 species
AACGAACGCUGGCGGCAUGCCUAACACAUGCAAGUCGAACGAGACCUUCGGGUCUAGUGGCGCACGGGUGCGUAACGCGUGGGGACCUGCCCUUAGGUUCGGAAUAACUCCCCGAAAGGGGUGCUAAUACCGGAUAAUGUCUUCGGACCAAAGAUUUCUCGCCUUUGGAUGGGCCCGCGUUGGAUUAGCUAGUUGGUAGGGUAAAAGCCUACCAAGGCGACGAUCCAUAGCUGGUCUGAGAGGAUGAUCAGCCACACUGGGACUGAGACACGGCCCAGAAUCCUACGGGAGGCAGCAGUGGGGAAUAUUGGACAAUGGGCGAAAGCCUGAUCCAGCAAUGCCGCGUGAGUGAUGAAGGCCUUAGGGUUGUAAAGCUCUUUUACCCGGGAUGAUAAUGACAGUACCGGGAGAAUAAGCACCGGCUAACUCCGUG